rnacentral:lncRNA from 1 species
GGUCACUCUAGUCAAUAAGCACACCAAAAAUUCCCAAGUCUAAUAUAUUUCUUUGUUUCCUUAUUUUUAUUCUCUUCUCUCUCAACUUACCGGAGACUCUUGUAUGGCCAUCGGAAAAUUAACCUACUUAACUUGAUUUGCAACAAGGCUGAGUCCCUCUGUUUGCCUGAGAAAAUAUAAUGGGCCAGUUUUUUUCAGUCUUCUUUUUUACCAUGUGAAUUCCAGAAGCAGUCAGCUCUUAUAAUCCUAGGAGCUCCCCAAAUUUCUGAAUUUUCUAUUUCCAUUCAUUUCUGCCCUCAAAUCUGUCAGUGCUUGCCUGUGCACAUUUCUUAUUUAUAAUCUUUGAUAAGUGCAACAAGUAGUACUUUGUUGUUCCUUUUUUUUUUUUUCCACCCUGUCGCUCAGGCUGGAGUGCAGUGGCACAAUCUUGGCUCACUGCAACCUCUGCCUUCCGGGUUCAAGUGAUUCUCCUGUCUCAGCCUCCCCAGUAGCUGGAACUACAGGCACCCGCCACCACGCC